rnacentral:rRNA from 1 species
GACGAACGCUGGCGGCGUGCUUAACACGUGCAAGUCGAACGGUAAGGCCCUUCGGGGUACACGAGUGGCGAACGGGUGAGUAACACGUGGGUGAUCUGCCCUGCACUUCGGGAUAAGCCUGGGAAACUGGGUCUAAUACCGGAUAGGACCACUGCCUGCAUGGGUGGUGGUGGAAAGCUUUUGCGGUGUGGGAUGGGCCCGCGGCCUAUCAGCUUGUUGGUGGGGUGAUGGCCUACCAAGGCGACGACGGGUAGCCGGUCUGAGAGGGUGACCGGCCACACUGGGACUGAGAUACGGCCCAGACUCCUACGGGAGGCAGCAGUGGGGAAUAUUGCACAAUGGGCGCAAGCCUGAUGCAGCGACGCCGCGUGAGGGAUGACGGCCUUCGGGUUGUAAACCUCUUUCAGCACCGACGAAGCGCAAGUGACGGUAGGUGCAGAAGAAGGACCGGCCAACUACGUGCCAGCCGCCGCAGUAA